rnacentral:rRNA from 1 species
GACAGAGGGGGCGAGCGUUGUUCGGAAUUACUGGGCGUAAAGGGCGCGUAGGCGGCCCGCUAAGUCGAACGUGAAAUCCCCAGGCUCAACCUGGGAACUGCGUCCGAUACUGGCAGGCUUGAAUCCGGGAGAGGGAUGUGGAAUUCCAGGUGUAGCGGUGAAAUGCGUAGAUAUCUGGAGGAACACCGGUGGCGAAGGCGGCAUCCUGGACCGGUACUGACGCUGAGGCGCGAAAGCUAGGGGAGCAAACGGG